AGAAACAAGCCAAGUAAACCCUCCACCCGGGCAAGUCGACAGAGCGGUAAAGAGGAGACCACAGCUGGCACACGCGGGACGAGGGGCCAGGCAGCAGCGUCGAAGGGGUGCCGUAAACGCGAGGCCAGCCCUCCUGCUGUGCGAACGCGGGGAGGACAGAAAUCAGAGGAGCCUCCUUCUAAGAGAGCCAAACGCUAAAACCUCUGACCGCAGUGGACCCGUUUGCCCCAGCAGUUUUUUUUUUUUUUUUUUUGUUUUUUUUUUUUUCUGCACUCCAUAGUGAAGUCAGUUUUGUUGUUGGGGGUCAGUGAGCCUCUACUGUCUGUUUCUGCUUCACUGACUACAGAUAUUGAAAAGCUCUGGAUA
rnacentral:lncRNA from 1 species